rnacentral:rRNA from 1 species
AGAGCGAACGCUGGCGGCAUGCUUAACACAUGCAAGUCGCACGGGCAGGGGAAACCCUGUCAGUGGCGGACGGGUGAGUAACGCGUAGGUAUCUAUCCUUGGGUGGGGGACAACUGUGGGAAACUACAGCUAAUACCGCAUGAUGACCGAGGUCCAAAGGCCGCAAGGCCGCCUGGGGAGGAGCCUGCGUACGAUUAGCUAGUUGGUGGGGUAACUGCCUACCAAGGCGACGAUCGUUAGCUGGUCUGAGAGGAUGAUCAGCCACAUUGGGACUGAGACACGGCCCAAACUCCUACGGGAGGCAGCAGUGGGGAAUAUUGGACAAUGGGCGCAAGCCUGAUCCAGCAAUGCCGCGUGGGUGAAGAAGGUCUUCGGAUUGUAAAGCCCUUUCGACGGGGACGAUGAUGACGGUACCCGUAGAAGAGCCCGGCUAACUUCGUGCCAGCAGCCGC